CAGCGGCCAUGGCUCACGGGCCCAGCCACUCAGCGGCACGUGGGAUCUUCCCGAACCAAGGCACGAACCCGCGUCCCCUGCAUCGGCAGGCAGACUCUCAACCACUGCGCCACCAGGGAAGCCCUCUAAGUUUCUUUUGAGGGUUUGAUUUGUUCUACUUUUCUUGAGGACUCUGGUGUCCAAGUGGAGUAUAAACCCCAUGUAAUUCCUAGAGCUCUAGAGAGUCCCUUAGUAAUUUGGGAAACAAAGGCAGGCACACUGUCACUCUGGAUGGACUUGGGGAGCCCAAACCGAGGGAUUAUUUCCUUGAGCAGGGCCUAGGAGACCUCCAGGGCAGUCUUGGUUCAGGUGGGAAACGCCUCCAUCCCCCGGGGAAGGUGGCAGUCACAGCCGGUAGGAGUCUGGAAUUUCCUCGUGCCUGGGGCGUUACUAUAAAACCAGCUGGCCAGUCCUGACCUGGACACGUGCCUUCAUAUUGGGUGGCGGUCGCUGCCUAAGUGUUGGGCUUAUUCCGGAGGCAGAUAGGGCACGCUUCAUCCCCCUGUUUAAGGAGAUGGUGGAGAUUGGGGGUAGUCAUGGACUUGAUGAGCCAUUGAUACAGGCCUCCUGCCCAUAACGUGUGCUGGGGCCAGCUUCCCUGGUGGCCUGCAGUGCAGAGGCCGGCGGGAGGAGCCGUCACCCCGGGUAUCCUGGGCUUUUAAAGUAGCCGCAUCCCAAAGCCUUUUCCCUCUCCUUCGGGGGGGCGGAUGGGAGUUAGCGCCUGGGGGCCCCGGCAGGAGUAGCAUCAGCGCUGUCCCCAGCCUCUGCUGCUCGUUUAGCUGCCCUGUCUGCCCCGUUGUCUCCUCUUAUAUUCCUGCUUCUCUCUUUUGAUGGCUUCUGCGGUGAAUGCCUGCUGCUUCCACAGGCAGGAGUGUAGUCUCCAGCGGCUACAUCAUGUCUCCCUCAUUCUUCAUCUGUUUGUGCCCUGAGGUCAGCGUUCCCCUCCCCCUCCACAUGGCCCCAUGAGCGUGUAGGCAUUGACGGCUUUCCUUUCCCCGGCUCUAGUGCCCCGAUUAGGACAGUUAAUUCGGGCAGUUAACGGGGCCAUCUGAGCAGAGCGGCCAGAGGGCAGAGCUUUAGCCUGCACCCCUUGAGCGAUGGAAACCACGUCCUGCCUUUCGUGUCCCAUCUUUCAUGAAGCUCCUCCCGUGGGUGAGCCACUCUGAGUCUGCAUUCUCUCUAGGGGAGCUCUUCAGGUCAGGCCGACGGGGGUAACCCUGUUCCAUAGCUUUCUCACGACCACGGGUUAAUCUGGGGCCUGGCUGAGGUAGCAGGGGGGCAGGGUGAGGACACCACGGGGCCUCAGUCACAGACGUGUUGUCUAGAAGUGCGGCUUGGACUUGCAGGGUUAUGAGGGGCUGGAGGUGGUGGGAGUACCAGAUGGUCAGGGCCUGUCCAAAGGUUAAUCUGUCAGCCUCUCUGAAGAGCUGAGAAGUACCAGCUCCAGCCCGUGAGCACGGGGGACACCCUUUAGCUACGACCUGGAGUCAGAGGUCCCAGUUUUGUGAAAGCUCCCCUGGGGCAGUUCCUCCUCUCUCAUGUACACAUAGAUGGAGGGGACGGCUCGGCUCAGGUCGCGGGGAAGGCGGGUGUGGCUCUCACGAGACAGCUUUUCAGUUCCAGGAGUGCCCGGUCACGAUUGGGGGUCCACUCCAGAAGUCAGGGUUCUUCCCUUUUAAUUGUUCAUGCAAGGGCUUAGCAGUCAAGCCAAAGCUGGGAAUCCCUAUACAAGCAUAUCCAGGAAACCCUUUAGCUGCUUUCCCUUACUAGGGGCGCCUGCCGUCUGGCACAUCAGCCCCUUCCUCUCCUUAGAUGGCGCCGCUUGCCCCUCUUCUACUAUAAAUCUUAAGUCUUCUACCCGCUGGAGGGGGAGCUGGGCUUUUUCCUUUGAAACUUCCUGUCCCCUCUCCGCCAGAUGAUUGAAGGCGUUAGCUGUGUUACAGGCUGUUUGGUGGGGCUGGUGUUAGGAGUGUCGUCCGCAUGCUGAAGUAUAGUCCCCUGUUCUAACUCAAGCUCACCACGAUCUUCAGGGCGGAGCCACCCAGCCCAGUUGUUUCCUCGUGCUGUCAGGGUUCCUGCCUUUCGAUUGCAAAAUCUUAAUGAGAUUUUGCGGUUAGGGGCACACAAAGAAGGCAUCUGUUAAGUCUAACAGAGUACCAGGUCCUCUCAGGGUUUAGGGUAGCGUAAUGGGUACGGCUUUCGCACCACAGGGUGAAUCUCCUCCGUAGCUUCAUUUAUGGCCCAGGGGUCCUGAACUGGCUGGUAUCUCUCCCAUUCGGCUCCUUUACCGGCAGAAUAGAAGGGUUGCCAGGGCACUGGCAGGGUCUGAGAAGCCCUUGCUUGAGUGGGCUUUGUGCCCACCAGCGCUUCUUUGCUUAAGCGGUGUUGCUGUGGGUGAUUGUGGCCGGCUCGCACCUUGAUUAGGACUGGCGGUGCCCUCCUGGCUCUGCCCACAGUGUUGCAGGACCCUACAGAGGGAUUAACCCCCUUAAGGAUAAUUGGGCCAUUAAAAAAAUAAUUUAUUUGGCUGUACCGGGUCUUAGUUGUGGCACGCAGGAUCCUCCUUGCGGCACGCGGGAUCUUUCGUGGUGGUGCAUGGGCUCAGUAGUUGUGGUGCACGGGCUUAGUUGCCCCAUGGCACGUGGGAUCUUAGUUCCCCGACCAGGAAUGGAACCCAGACCCCCUGCAUUGGAGCGUGGAGCCUUACCCCCUGGGCCAUUAUUUUUGGCCGAGGGCAGUAGCACUAGGGCUGCAGAACGGAAGGGGGUCUCAGGUGUUUCAGUGGUAAGGUUUUUGUCUCAGAUAAAGUGUAGCUGCCAAUCUGUAUAGUAGGUCUCUUCCUAUUAGAGGAAUUGGGCGUUCCGGGACAUAGAAAAAUGAGAUAACAUUCUCUCUUCCAAACCACACUCAGAAGAGCUCUAUAAAAUUACGUUCCUGUGACUCCCCUUCCACUCCCAUCCUUGUACAUUUUUCUUUGGUCAUCCUGCCUUGUUGGAUGUUCAGGACUGAGUAGGUAGCCCGUGUGUGACUAGAAUGUCAACUGUUCUACCCACGACAGUCAGAGUCAGCCGAGGCUCCUUCAGGGAGCCCCUGGGCCCCUUCAGCCCUCUUCUUCUUCCCCGUGUGGAACCAGCGAGGGUGGGCCAGGACACCGUGGUCCCCUUGGCUUCCUUCCGAGACCUUUGGGGCACCCCCUUCCAGUGGCUCUGCUCCAGGCACUGUGCACCCUGAUUGGCCCUGAGCCCCGCUCUCCACUGUGGGUGUGGUCUUCGAAACCCUGGCGACUCAUGGAUGUCACGGGGUCCCUUCGGUGGUGGGGAGGAGGGAGCACCAUCACAGGGUGGCUGGUGACCCUGAGUCACGGAAGCCAGAAUACUGCCAGUUGGUUCUGCUCGUCUGCCUGCCUCAGCAUCCGCCCGCAGAUCCCGGUUCUUGAAGCCCCGAAAUGCUGGCUCCAGCCCUGGGAAGGGGGCCUGGGGGCCUUGUCUCCAACUUCUGUCGUUUUCUCCUCGUGUCUGGGCGCUCUGGGAAGUGGAAUGGGCCUUGAGAACGGCCUGCCCUGCCCCUGACCCCAGGCUCACGUCCGUGUACACGCCAGCACUCCUGAGGCAUUCCAGGAAAGCCGCGGGGGGUGGGGGAGGUCUCCCUUCUGCCCCGGAUGAUCCCUGAACCCUAGUCCCGUUUAUGGGUUUCUUCUUUGCCAGAUGAAUGCCCGUCACAGUCACACCCCUGAAACGCGUGAGGUGCUGCCGGCCGUUUUCCUCUCAUCAGCCCCACCCAGGGUCCGUGCUGGGAACGGCCUGGAUUCCAGGCGGGUGUAGAGCGUGUCCUGCAUUAUUUUGAUGGGUCUCAUCAGCUUCCUCCCUUGCACUAGUUAUAAUCAGUGCCCUUUCUUUCCCGGAGAAUAAGAUGUUCAGGAGGGUUUGGACAGCCGCCAAGUGGGGAAAUGGGUGUGAAUAUUCCCUGGACUAAAUUAAGGACUCCCUCGGGGUAUCCUUCAAACCCUUGGAUCUAUCCUUCCAGUUAUGUCGAUCUGGGAAGACAAGGGUACGUACAUAUGGUCAUACUGCCCCCUCCUCUGGGGACCUCCUGAAGGGGGAAUAGCCCACUGAUUCCAAAGGGCUGGUACUGAACGCGGCUACGGGUGUGCAGUGGACUGAUCCGCGAGGGAACUGUGGAGAGAUGGAGGUGGGAGAGUCAGGGAGGGGGCAGCAGGUAGGGGGUGGUGGAUUGGGGGGAGUAGAAGGCAUCAGGGAACCAGGAGAGGUAGGGGUAGAUGACUCAGGAGUCUCAGGUGAACUGUCAGAAGGGGAGUAGCUGCCCUUGGUGGAGGGAGGAGGUCACGAGGACCCUCAGGCUGAGACUCCAAUACCAGGAGAGAGAUUAGAAGUAACCUCGUGUUUUGGGGUGUUUUUUAAUUAAUUAAUUUAUUUUUGGUCGUGUUGGGUCUUCGUUGCUGUGCCUGGGCUUUCUCUAGUUGCGACGAGCGGGCUUCUCAUUGCAGUGGCUUCUCGUUGCGGAGCACGGGCUCUACGUGCACGGCUUCAGUAGUUGUGGCACAUGGGCUCAGUAGUUGUGGCUUGCGGGCUCUAGAGCGCAGGCUCGGUAGUUGUGGCGCACGGGUUUAGUUGCUCCGCGGCAUGUGGGAUCCCCCUGGACCAGGGCUCGAACCCGUGUCCCCUGCCUUGGCAGGCGGAUUCUUAACCACUGCGCCACCAGGGAAGUCUACUAUUUGCAUUUUGAAAAGUGCUGUGGGGAGAAGGGAGUUCCAGGGUUGGUAAGUGUAUGGAUCCCACACCAAGAGGUCUCGGUGCUCUAACUGAAACCUGAACCAGUAUGCUUAGGGGCUGGAAGGGGAGGCGCCCUCUGAGAGGGCCUUGGUUACAAGGCCUCCUUUUAAUUCAGCGACUUGACAUUCCCAGACCCAUUGUGGGGCUGUAGGAGAUACUCAGUGUAGGUGGGUGCUUUCAGCCACCAGUCCCUGGAGAUGGGGUGAAGGCGGAGUAGGAAAUAAGGGUUCUCUCUCCAGUCAGGCGAAUUGCCCGCAGGGCCGCCCUGGCAGGCAAGGAGGUCUGUUCAAAGAGGGCGUGUCCCUGCUCGGUGACAGGUAACCAGGCAGGGAGGCGAAUGCCCAUCUGGCAUGUAUCCAGUUUACUCUCAGCUACAAGGACCCAAGGCCUUUGGACAAUGUGGAGGUCCUCUUCCUUCCCCAGCCAGGCAAAGUGAUUUUCCUGAAAUAUGGCAAAAACAAGCUUUUUAAAGGGUUUGUGUCUCAGAGGAGGGAUCCCUAGGGACCUGCGAUGGAGGGUAGCGGGGAGAGACCUGCCUGAGAGAGAUGUGGACCCUGCCCGGGAUGGCCAGUUAGGGCAAGAGGAAGCAACACAAGAUGUGCUCUUGGGUUUCCGAGUAGAGCCUAGAGGUGGGAACUCUGCAGCGGUGGGGCUGAGUGUUCUACUGCGUGCUUCCAGUUGGCAGUGGGCCUGGCGCUCACCUACCCUGGUCCACGACCAACGCACCCUUUCACGAGAGUGUGUUUGGUGGCGAGCGCCCUAGUGGCCUGUAGGCACUCAGCCUGUACCUGUGGUUGCGGCACGUACUACUUCCAAGAGCACUAGGACAGGCAAGGCCACACAGAUCAGAGCCUGACGCUUCCCUGCGCCGAGAACAGAGACCAGGGCGCACGUCACACACAUAUGAAACAAGGAGGUGUUCUUGCCACGCCAUGGCGUCUGGAGGGCUUCCUGUCCAGUCCAGUCCCCUUGCCAGGAACCAGUCAAACUGGGAACCAGUUGUGCGAUCUCGCCUCUCCCCUUGCCAGGGGGUCGGCUCUAUUUAGAUGACCAACUGACCAGUCCAGUCCUCUAGACUGAGGUCUGUCUGCAACGAGACGACCAGGAUCCUUUCCCUUACCUUGCCAACCCUCACAGCCAAACCUCGGCCGGAGCGGGGUCAGCGCCCAGCCCAUGUCAGGUGUCCCCUGGGCACUGCCCCGAUCUGUAGCAAGCGUCCUUGCUGUAGAUACACAGCGCGGGGGACACUCCACUUGAUCCUUGGCUGCUUUUAGAUCUCAGACUAAAUUCAGUAGUCCUCACUGGCCCAGAGGUUCAGAACUGGGGCAGACUGCCCAGUUAUUUAGCUGACCUUGUCAGCCCCGGGUCAGGGAGUUCAGCCCUGAGUUACAGGACGGAAUGGGCCCCACGUUGGGUGCCAAAAUUUGUUCCCGAAUUGAAUCGUAUGGACCCGCUUGCCUGGCCAAGGCUGGCUGCCUCGGGAUGGGGGUGGCGUCCUUUUUCCAUUCGAGUUCGGGAGUGGGUGAAUAAGGAAGCAGAAGCUGACAUGCGCAAGCUUUAUUCAGUGGCCAGAGACUGGAGAAGCGGGAGCUAAGUUCACAGACGAACUUCUUGCCCCCCUGGUGAGGGGGAUUUAAUUUUAAAGGGAGGAGGAGUGAGGCUAAUGAUGGGGACCCAUAGGCAGUAGUCUGCGGGGGAGGGGCAGGGCUUUUCCGAGGGCGUGGGGGGGUCACCCCCUUUUUAUCCUGUUUUGAUCCUUAAUACCUGGUCCUGGCUGCCGGUAGGUGUGUCAUUUAAUAUGCUAAUGUAGUCAAAUCAGCGUAUAAUGAGACUUGGUCUGUUGGAGGUCAGAUUUGUCGCCAUCUUGGUCCCAGUGGUUCUUUUGGUUUUUUUCUUUGUGUGUGUGUGUGUGUGUGUGUGUGUGUAGCUCUGGACCCUUUAACUUAAAAAGAUUGUGUUCACUCCCGCUAAAGGUGGGGGGGUCAGAGCGUCGUGAGCAAGGACGCUUCUAAGGGUCGGGGCCGGAGAGUUGAGCAAAGACCUGGAGCAGCUCUGGCAACACGCUCGGGGCGAUUAACCUCAUGCCCUGGGCAUAGCAUCCGGGUUUGGACGUGGGAGUUGUGGCCACACCCCUUCUGAACCGCGACCUCCUGGGGUCACACAAAUAGAUGCUGCGUAAGGCGCAGAGAACCCUGUGCGUCUCCCCUCUAGGGGCCUCUGUGGGGACUGAGCCUCAGCGCCCCCCUCCCCUUCUUUCCCGAGCUCUCCUGGGUUCCCGGGUGACAGGGAGCGUCGGUCACAUAAAAGGGAGCCUCGAAGGUGAGGCUGCCCAAGGCUGGGGGUGGCCCUCUCCGGGAAGGCCUCCCCGCCCCCAUGUUUCCUCCCACCUCUGGGCCCUGGCUGAGGGGCAGGCAGUCGUCGUUUCUGUGACAUGGAGGGCUGAGCCAGCGGGCUGCAGACGAGGGGCUGUGUUUAUUGGAACAAAAUACGCAGUUAGAUUGCACCCCAGUUAACCCACAACCCCUCCACCCCCCGCCUGCCACCUGGACCCCCUCCUCUGGAAGGGUGGCCAGCUGGUUCCUGCCACCUUCGCGUCGCUGGUCCCAGGCCUGGGCAGCCGUUUGGCGGUCACUCUUGGAUGUUCUGCCCGAUCCAACCUCUCACAGCAGCCACCCGGGUGUAGACGCCUGGGAACUGGGGUCGCCCACAGCCGUAACCCCAGCUGGUGACCCCAGUUAGCACCCACCGGCCAGAGGGCUCCCUGCAGGCCAGGGGUCCCCCAGCGUCACCCUGAGGAAAGGAGAGAAGAGAGGAAAGGAACUCAGAGCAGGCAGUACCUCUCCGGCAGCAGCCAGGGGUGGGCUGGCCUGAUCUGCGUGCUCCUGGGCCACCACGGGAGUGUCACCUGGGCUCUCCCUGUGACCCCAGCUAGUGGCUUCCUCCGUGAGCCUCACUCGUAUGAUCUGGGAAAUUGGUUCAGUGCUCGGGUGAGCGUUCAUCCGCCUGGCAGACAUUGGUGGGCACCCGCCUGGCGGUCCAGGAGCAGAACCGGGCCUCAGCCCACAGCCUCUGCCCGGCCUGCUCCUGACCCUCUGAGGGGCGGGGGAGGGUGCAGUGGGGGGAACGCCGGCUUCUUAGGGGUGUCCACGAAGUGGCUGUCCAGUGGAAACUCGGAGACCCAAAAGGUGCCCUGUUUGAUCUAACUGAGGAAGCGCACCGCAGGGUGGGGCCUGGCUCGCGGAGCCCCGGUCCAGUUGCACAGUGCGCUCACCGAGCAGCUGUCCACGCCGCCCUGUGGGAAGCCCGCGCAGAGCAUGCGGCUACUGAUCUGCACCGGGUAGAAGCGGCGGCACGUCUGCUCGCUGAGGAGGCGCACGGCCGCCUUCUGCAGCUGCCGCGCCAUCGAGCCUGCGGGCGAGAAGGGACCUGGUGGGCCCGCGCCCUCCCUGCGCCGUUGGGACUCCCGAUGGAGGUGCAGGCGGGGUCCUUCCCGACGCCCCCGGACCCUUAACCCUUGGGGGGCCCAUCCGCGCCUACCUCCCUCGCGCACGGAGCCCCAGCCGGUGAUGACGCAGCGCGCGCCGUCGGGGGGCCGAGGCACGGGCUCGGGCAGGCAGAUGGGCCGCACCAGGCGGCUGCGGCGCACGGGCGCCGCCAGCUCCAGCAGCGCCACGUCGUAGUCCAGCGUGUAGAGGUUGUAGAAGGGGUGCUUGUGGAUGCGCGCCACGCGCUCCAGCUGCCCCUCAGCGCCGCUCAGGAACGGCGUGCCCAGGAAGGCCGCCCACUGCUUGGGGUCCCCGUAGCUGCGGGACGUCGGGGACAAGCGUCCACCCGGGUCCCCGCACCCCGGCGCUGCUCGCCCGGGGCUCCCCGGCACCCUGCCCUGCGGGGGCUGCGUCCGCGGUCGGCUGGGGAAACCUCAGAUCGGGCACUUGACCUCGGUUGAGUCGUCCCUUUGUCCUAGAACAGCAGGGAGGACGAGGGGGGGGCCCCCGCGCCUGAACGCGCCCAGCCGGCCCCCAGGCACUGAGGUGACACUACAAGCUGUGUCCAUUUCCACCUAAUAUUACGGCUCUCCCGCCUGCCCACCCGCUGUGAGCUCGGCACCGCGAGGCGCAUCCUGAGCCGGGUUUCUCCGUGGAGGGCAGGCCCCUGGCCCGGUCCUCCUACUGCGCACCCUGCCAGGAAGGGGACUCCCCACUGGGUGACCUUUAGGGUGGUGCCAGUCCGAGCAGGAUGGCUAGGGAUGGAGGUGUCCCGCUGGCCCGGAGCCGCCCCGUUUGGUGGGGGUCGGGCACUGGACUUCGCCCCGCUGCCCUGUGUGGCCAGGGGAGGGCUGUGCGGAAGAGGGUAUGGCCUGGGGCAGCGGGUGUCCGGAAAGGGCUUUGCAGGCAAAGGCGCGGAGGUGCCACACCCUGAGUUUUUGGGCUACGAUUGGGUCCCGGUGAACCACGGACACGGGCCAUUCGGGGCGGGCGGGACUCACACGUCAAAGCAGUGCGCUGCCGACAGCAGCCACCUCUCGGCCACCAGCACGGCCCCGCAGCGGUGCUCCCGCCGCCGUAGCCACAGGCUCACCUGCCACGGCCACUCCCCGCGGCCCGCGGCGCUGCCGCCCACGAUCCUGGUCAGUGUUGCUGCCGGCGCCAGGCCGCAGUCUGCGGGAGAGGCGGGCAUGGGUCGGCGGUCAGACCACGCCUCCUCCACGCAGACCGCCCAGCUUCGCCCCUGCGCGCAGUCCUGGUUAGCGGCGCCUGGGAGCAGGGAGUGGGGUGGGAGACCCACCUCGGGGAAACGCCUUCCCCCAGGGACCCUGGGCCUGGCGCUUGGUCCUACAAACGAGCCUCUUCAGGGCUUUUCUCUGAUAAUGCAUUUAAGUUUGGUUCCUGUAACCUCAGCCUUGGGGCCUCACCUCCCCAGCUGGGGGCCAGGCCAGCAUCCCGUCGCUCCCCACUCCUCCCAGGCCUCUUUCAGGCCCCUAGGAGCCAAGUUCCCUGCUGCCCCAGGGCCUUUGCACAGCCCAGCUGCUUCCCAGGAGGCCCUGCCUGGUCACACCAGCUCAUGCACUGGCUGGUCUUCCUGGACGCCCUGUCAGGGGCUCUUUACCUGGGUCUAGUGACCCAGUGUCCUUCCUAGGGUAGUCCCUCCGUCCUGUGACAGACACCCUUCCCCACCUGCAGCACAGGGUGCACCCUCGGAACACAAGAGUAGGAAGACCAAACGGGUAGCUCCGAGGAGUGCUGCAGGGACCACCGUCGGCACCCGGGGCGGGGGGGGGGGGCGCUCAGGUACACAUCUGAUAAUUCCCACAGGCUGUUUUCCAGCUCCACAGCCAGUGCCCCCUCCCCAGCCCUGUCUCCCACCAGCCAGCCGCCUCCCCUGCCCUCCAUGGUCGGGGAAGGCCCUCCUGUCCCCACACCGAACAAUGUGUGCCGUGUCAGGAACCCUCCUCCACCUCCUGGCCCCCACGUUGAGAACUGUAGCUACGGGAAAAGGAAGAAUCACCAGGCUGGAGGCCCGACCCAGAGACAGCCGGCUGCAGAGUUAACAAGAACCCGUAUUUCUCCCAAGGACACGGUGCAGCCGUAAAGUAUCAAAACGCCCCCUCCUCUGAGUAUCCCUGCUGGACGGGCAGGGGCAGCGAGGUCCCCUUGCGCCUGGAGGAUCUCAGUCACAGAGACUGUGCCCCGAUUUCCAGCCCAGUCCAGCACCUCAGCUGAGGGGGUCUCUGGACUCGACUUUCUUGUGGUACCCGGAGAGGCACCAUGUCCAGACCCCUGGCACGUGGUCUGCUUUGCUCUGAGCCGGUCAAACCCUGCUUCCUCUCAGCGUCCCCUCCACCCCUCUGCCCCGGAUCCCACAGCGCCUGCCUCUCCCUCUGUUUGGUGAGCCGCCCCUUGGUUCUUUGGUGUGCGCUGCCUUGCUGCAGCGAGCCCGUAACCCUGACUUUGUGGGUGCAGGUCUGUAUCUGGGGACUUGGGCUGACUGGGCCAGCCUCUGUGUGAAUGUGGGGGGCGACGAAGGGCGGGGAACAGAAGCCGGGCCCCGUUCUAAGCUUGGUGCCUGGGACACUGUGGACGGCAUCUAUCUGAGGCAUAGGAACUUGCCUACAUUAGAUGGGGCCUUACUUCUGACCCAGAAAUAGGGCGGUUUCCUAUGGUUCUGAUGAACAUUUAAUAAAAAUGAACUCCACAUCUCAGACGCAAGCUCAGGGCCAUGUUCUCUGUCUCAUCUGUCAGCCAGUUACUGCCCUGUUGUACCCCCCUUAGGCCUGUGGGACCAGCCGUUAACGUGUGCAUCUGCCCUGUCAGUGCCGGGUCCCUGCCGUCGGGGCCUACGAUGGUCUGACUUGUGUCCCCUUCAAAAUUCGUAAGUGGAAGCCCCUGACCCCCAGAACCUCAGGAUGGGACUUUUGGAGAUGGAGCCUUUAAAGAGACGAUUAAAGUAAAAUGAGGUUCGGGUGGCCCUAAUCUAGCAUGACUGGUGUCCGUAUAAUAAGAGGAGAUUAGGACACAGACACCCACAGAGGGGAGACCACAUGAGGAUGCGGGGAGAAGAUGGCCGUCCUCACACCGAGGAGAGAGGCCUCAGAGGACUCCAGCCCUGCCGACACCAUCUCCACCCCCCAGACUGGGACGCUGUGACAGCAGCCCUAGCAGAGGCACCGCCAGGCGCUCCCGUGCUGCCACGAGUGGGAGAAACAACUCAGCAGAGCUGGACACGCACAGGACCUCAGCAGGACGGGCCUCACGCCCGCGUGGGGCUGUGAGACCUUGUGUGACCUUGAGCAAGUCACCUCUCUCUGAGCCUGGAUUGCUCUUACUUUUGCAUUGGAGACAAAACAAAACAGCAGAAAACCCUAAAGAAAACUCUCCUGGGCAAGAAUAUACAAUGGGAAAAAGACAGUCUCUUCAGCAAGUGGUGUUGGGAAAGCAGGACAGACGCAUGUAGAUCAGUGAAGUUAGAACACGCCCUCACGCCAUGCACAAAAAUAAACUCAGAAUGGCUUAAAAACUAAAUGUAAGCCGUGACACCGUAAAACACCUAGGAGAGAGCAUAGGCAAAACAUUCACUGACAUAAAUCGCGCCAAUGUUUUCUUAGGUCAGUCUCCCAAGGCAAUAGAAAUAAAAGCAAAAAUAAACAAAUGGGACCUAAUCAAACUUACAAGUUUUUGCACAGCAAAAGAAACCAUAAAAAAAAAAGAAAAAAAAAAAAGAAAAGACAACCUACGGAAUGGGAGAAAAUACUUGCAAACGAUGCAACCGACAAGGGCUUAAUCUCCAAAAUAUACAAACACCUCACACAACUCAAUAACAAAAAACCAAACAACCCAAUCGAAAAACGGGCGGAAGAUCUAAGCAGACAUUUCUCUAAAGAAGACAUACAGAUGGCCAACAGGCACAUGAGACGAUGCUCAACAUCACUAAUUAUUACAGAAAUGCAAAUCGAAACUACAAUGAGGUACCACCUCAUGCUG